UAGUCCACGCCGUAAACGAUGAGAACUAGAUGUUGGGGGGUUGCCCUUCGGUGUCGCAGCUAACGCGUUAAGUUCUCCGCCUGGGGAGUACGCCGGCAACGGUAAAACUCAAAGGAAUUGACGGGGACCCGCACAAGCGGUGGAGCAUGUGGUUUAAUUCGAUGCAACGCGAAGAACCUUACCUGCCCUUGACAUACUCGGAACUUUCCAGAGAUGGAUUGGUGCCUUCGGGAACCGAGAUACAGGUGCUGCAUGGCUGUCGUCAGCUCGUGUCGUAAGAUGUCUGGUUAAGUCCAAUAACGAGCGCAACCCUUAUCCUUAGUUACCAGCAUUAAGUUGGGGACUCUAGGGAGACUGCCGGUGUUAAACCGGAGGAAGGCGGGGAUGACGUCAAGUCCUCAUGGCCCUUACGGGUAGGGCUACACACGUACCACAAUGGCAGAUACAAACCGUUUGCAAAGCCGCGAGGUUGAGCUAAUCGGUAAAACACUGUCCCAGUCCGGAUUGGAGUCUGCAACUCGACUCCAUGAAGA
rnacentral:rRNA from 1 species